rnacentral:rRNA from 1 species
AUACGGAGGAUGCGAGCGUUAUCCGGAUUUAUAAGGUUUAAAGGGUGUGUAGGCGGUAUUUUAAGUCAGUGGUGAAAUCUCGGAGCUUAACUUCGAAACUGCCAUUGAUACUGGAAUACUUGAGUAUAGUUGAGGUAGGCGGAAUAUGUAAUGUAGCGGUGAAAUGCAUAGAUAUUACAUAGAACACCGAUUGCGAAGGCAGCUUACUAAACUAUUACUGACGCUGAUGCACGAAAGCGUGGGGAGCGAACAGGAUUAGAAACCCCAGUAGUCC